rfam:Chlorocebus sabaeus isolate 1994-021 chromosome 5, whole genome shotgun sequence.
GCCAAGCGUGGUGGCAUGCGCAUGUAGUCCCAGCUACUUGGGAGGCUGAGGCAGGAGAAUCGCUUGAACCUGGGAGGUAGAGGUCAAGGUGAGCCAAGAUUGCGCCACUUCACUCCAGNNNNNNNNNNCUGGAGUGAAGUGGCGCAAUCUUGGCUCACCUUGACCUCUACCUCCCAGGUUCAAGCGAUUCUCCUGCCUCAG